AUCUCCACUCUACGGCCUUUUACAGGCUUUCCAAUUUUACAGGCCUUUCCAAUUUUCCAUUAUCAUUAGAAAGAGAACUGUGCUUCCAAACAGAAAUCAGGAGUGACCACAAAGCCUGACAACACUUUGCCACCCAGCAAGAACUGGCACAAUUGGUUUGGGUCUGCAUUGCCAUAGUGUCCGAGUUAAAACUACAGGCCACUCCACCUUGCAAACCUCACGUGGCCUCUGAUUUCAUUGUGGGUGCAUCCACAGGUGGCGCUA
rnacentral:lncRNA from 1 species